UACAGAGGGUGCGAGCGUUACUCGGAAUUACUGGGCGUAAAGCGCGCGUAGGCGGCUUUGCAAGUCGGGUGUGAAAUCCCCAGGCUUAACCUGGGAACUGCAUUCGAGACUGCAUUGCUAGAGUAUGGGAGAGGGAAGUGGAAUUUCCGGUGUAGCGGUGAAAUGCGUAGAUAUCGGAAGGAACAUCAGUGGCGAAAGCGACUUCCUGGACCAAUACUGACGCUCAUGUGCGAAAGCGUGGGGAGCGAACAGG
rnacentral:rRNA from 1 species